AACGCGAAGAACCUUACCUACUCUUGACAUCUAUAGAAUCUGGUAGAGAUACUGGAGUGCCUUCGGGAAUUAUAAGACAGGUGCUGCAUGGCUGUCGUCAGCUCGUGUCGUGAGAUGUUGGGUUAAGUCCCGUAACGAGCGCAACCCUUAUCCUUAGUUGCCAGCGAUUAAAGUCGGGAACUCUAGGGAGACUGCCGGUGACAAGCCGGAGGAAGGUGGGGACGACGUCAAGUCAUCAUGGCCCUUACGAGUAGGGCUACACGCGUGUUACAAUGGUCGGUACAAAGGGCAGCGAACCUGCGAGGGGGAGCGAAUCUUAUCAAAGCCGAUCGUAGUCCGGAUUGGAGUCUGCAACUCGACUCCAUGAAGUUGGAAUCGCUAGUAAUCGUAGAUCAGAACGCUACGGUGAAUACGUUCCCGGGCCUUGUACACACCGCUACAGU
rnacentral:rRNA from 1 species